rnacentral:rRNA from 1 species
GUCACACCCGUUCCCAUACCGAACACGGAAGUUAAGCUCUUUAGCGCCGAUGGUAGUUGGGGGCUUCCCCCUGUGAGAGUAGGACAUCGCUAGGC